AUCCACACCCUGCCUGCAUGCUUUUUGUUGCUGUGUCAGUUUUGUGUUUUCUGGUCUGCUGUUUCUGUUAAUUUUGUAAACUGUGCUGUCUGUCGAAGUUUCACAAUUGUUCUGUGUGUUUGUUAAGCGUCUCUCUCUGUCCUUACUGCCCACCCACGUGGCAUUCGUGGGUCAGGGGUCUUUUCUUGCCCUGAGCAUGUGGCGUGCGGGAUAGGAGUUCCUCUGCCAUGUGCCAUGGGUUGGAGUGUCCUGCGGCACAGUCCCCUGAGGCUACUGCUCUGAACUCCAACCACUGCUGUGGCCCUCACAGCUGAGCCUGGCCGGUGCAGGCAGGUUGGGAGUUUGCUGUAGCAACAGAAAGAAGAAAGCUUUCAAAUUAGCAACUGCUCCCAUCCUUCAGAAGGCAAACAAAGGAAAGCAGGUGACUACACACUGACAAAGUCUGCACCACCCAAGAAGACCUCCAGACCUCUGUGGUUAACUAGUGGCUAGCUCUGCCCUCUGAUCUUCAGACAAGCUUUAUUUGUUAGAGUACAAACAAGGCGAUAAAUACAUCAACAAUGUCUGAUCCAUUAGCAGUUGACAAGUUCAGAGGAAAUACUACAGUACAUCUAUCUUGUCUUGUGAAUUUCUUUUCUGGAGCUGGUAACACGAAAAACUAUAACUUUAAAGUCUUCAAUUUCAUCAGAGACCCAAGGAGGCAAUAAUAUUACCUGAGUAAGCAGCACAUGCAAGCAAGUGACUUCCAAAAAAUGUGAGAAAUGACAAAAACAUCUGGCUGCCUGGACAGUCACCCAAGUUUCCUCUGCAACAUUGGACAUCCAUCUUCGGCCUAGCAUAUCUGGUAGACUUUUCUGUGAAGCAGAAUAUUCUGAAGGGUUGUCUUACCUUAUCUUGGCAAAGUUCAGCAGUCGUUUCUUUUGUGUCCUGCUUGUACAAUUUGGACAGCGUACUGUCAACAGUCGAGGCAAGAGCACUUUUUUGCUCAGCGGAUAACUUUUGCCACAAAGAAAGUAAACUCCAUGUGGAGUUUGUUCAAUGCCCAUCAUCUUUGAAGUAGAUUUGCACCACCAAGAGAAGACAUGUCUCAUUCUAUGAAAAACGAAAAGGACCUAUGUUAUUAAAAUCCAAGCCAAUGUAAAAAUAUUUAAAACUUAGUAAUUGCUUUUUUUGGUCCAAAGGUAGAUUCAAUAAUCUACCUCUUCAUCCUGUUCCUAUAUCCCUCUUUUUUUUUUUUUCAUUUCAGAGUAAAUUCAAUAAUAUGCCCUUAAAUCCUAUCGUAUCUAUAUGCACCUUUUUGCUUUUCAAAAUGAGAGCUCUGAAUAUAAUUUUUUUAGCUUUUGUUUAGCUAUUUUUUAAAGCUUUGUUCAGCUUUUUCCCUGACCAUAACCAAUAACAAUUUCUAACCGACCCCCUUAAACAAUGACAGAUAUCCAUAACCCAAUGAGUGAUCAAAACCUACCCACCCCACCUCUUGGGAACGUGGGUGUUGUAUUCUUUAAUUCCUGCUGUCUUCAGGUAAUCGAAUCUUUGGGGGAUCCUGAAAAGAAAAAUUUGAGUUAAUUGUCAAGUCUUGG
ensembl:lncRNA